GGCGGCGUGCUUAACACAUGCAAGUCGAACGGUAAGGCCCUUCGGGGUACACGAGUGGCGAACGGGUGAGUAACACGUGGGUAAUCUGCCCUGCACAUCGGGAUAAGCCUGGGAAACUGGGUCUAAUACCGAAUAGGACCACAGAACACAUGUCCUGUGGUGGAAAGCUUUUGCGGUGUGGGAUGGGCCCGCGGCCUAUCAGCUUGUUGGUGGGGUGAUGGCCCACCAAGGCGACGACGGGUAGCCGGCCUGAGAGGGUGUCCGGCCACACUGGGACUGAGAUACGGCCCAGACUCCUACGGGAGGCAGCAGUGGGGAAUAUUGCACAAUGGGCGAAAGCCUGAUGCAGCGACGCCGCGUGGGGGAUGACGGCCUUCGGGUUGUAAACCUCUUUCACCAUCGACGAAGGUCCGGGUUUUCUCGGGCUGACGGUAGGUGGAGAAGAAGCACCGGCCAACUACGUGCCAGCAGCCGCGGUAAUACGUAGGGUGCGAGCGUUGUCCGGAAUUACUGGGCGUAAAGAGCUCGUAGGUGGUUUGUCGCGUUGUUCGUGAAAUCUCACGGCUUAACUGUGAGCGUGCGGGCGAUACGGGCAGACUUGAGUACUGCAGGGGAGACUGGAAUUCCUGGUGUAGCGGUGGAAUGCGCAGAUAUCAGGAGGAACACCGGUGGCGAAGGCGGGUCUCUGGGCAGUAACUGACGCUGAGGAGCGAAAGCGUGGGGAGCGAACAGGAUUAGAUACCCUGGUAGUCCACGCCGUAAACGGUGGGUACUAGGUGUGGGUUUCCUUCCUUGGGAUCCGUGCCGUAGCUAACGCAUUAAGUACCCCGCCUGGGGAGUACGGCCGCAAGGCUAAAACUCAAAGAAAUUGACGGGGGCCCGCACAAGCGGCGGAGCAUGUGGAUUAAUUCGAUGCAACGCGAAGAACCUUACCUGGGUUUGACAUGCACAGGACGCCGGCAGAGAUGUCGGUUCCCUUGUGGCCUGUGUGCAGGUGGUGCAUGGCUGUCGUCAGCUCGUGUCGUGAGAUGUUGGGUUAAGUCCCGCAACGAGCGCAACCCUUGUCUCAUGUUGCCAGCGGGUAAUGCCGGGGACUCGUGAGAGACUGCCGGGGUCAACUCGGAGGAAGGUGGGGAUGACGUCAAGUCAUCAUGCCCCUUAUGUCCAGGGCUUCACACAUGCUACAAUGGCCGGUACAAAGGGCUGCGAUGCCGCGAGGUUAAGCGAAUCCUUUUAAAGCCGGUCUCAGUUCGGAUCGGGGUCUGCAACUCGACCCCGUGAAGUCGGAGUCGCUAGUAAUCGCAGAUCAGCAACGCUGCGGUGAAUACGUUCCCGGGCCUUGUACACACCGCCCGUCACGUCAUGAAAGUCGGUAACACCCGAAGCCAGUGGCCUAACCCUUUGGGAGGGAGCUGUCGAAGGUGGGAUCGGCGAUUGGGACGAAGUCGUAAC
rnacentral:rRNA from 1 species